rnacentral:tRNA from 1 species
GAGGGUAUCGCUCAGUGGUAGAGCAUGUGCCUAGCAUGCAUGAGGUCCUGGGUUCAAUCCCCAGUACCUUCA